rnacentral:rRNA from 1 species
UACGGAGGAUGCGAGCGUUAUCCGGAUUUAUUGGGUUUAAAGGGUGCGUAGGCGGCGAGUUAAGUCAGCGGUAAAAGCCCGGGGCUCAACCCCGGCCCGCCGUUGAAACUGGCUGGCUUGAGUUGGGGAAAGGCAGGCGGAAUGCGCGGUGUAGCGGUGAAAUGCUUAGAGAUCAUACAGAACACCGAUUGCGAAGGCAGCUUACCAAUCUAUAUCUGACGUUGAGGCACGAAAGCGUGGGGAGCAAACAGG